rnacentral:rRNA from 1 species
GAAAAGGAGCAAUCCGCUUUGAGAUGGCCUCGCGUCCGAUUAGCUAGUUGGUGAGGUAACGGCCCACCAAGGCGACGAUCGGUAGCCGGACUGAGAGGUUGAACGGCCACAUUGGGACUGAGACACGGCCCAGACUCCUACGGGAGGCAGCAGUGGGGAAUAUUGCACAAUGGGGGAAACCCUGAUGCAGCGACGCCGCGUGGAGGAAGAAGGUCUUCGGAUUGUAAACUCCUGUUGUUGAGGAAGAUAAUGACGGUACUCAACAAGGAAGUGACGGCUAACUACGUGCCAGCAGCCGCGGUAAAACGUAGGUCACAAGCGUUGUCCGGAAUUACUGGGUGUAAAGGGAGCGCAGGCGGGAAGACAAGUUGGAAGUGAAAUCCAUGGGCUCAACCCAUGAACUGCUUUCAAAACUGUUUUUCUUGAGUAGUGCAGAGGUAGGCGGAAUUCCCGGUGUAGCGGUGGAAUGCGUAGAUAUCGGGAGGAACACCAGUGGCGAAGGCGGCCUACUGGGCACCAACUGACGCUGAGGCUCGAAAGUGUGGGUAGCAAACAGGAUUAGAUACCCUGGUAGUCCACACUGUAAACGAUGAUUACUAGGUGUUGGAGGAUUGACCCCUUCAGUGCC